rnacentral:tRNA from 1 species
GACGGUAUCGCCAAGUGGUAAGGCUUUGGAUUGCAAAUCCUUCAUCCCCAGUUCGAAUCUGGGUACCGUCU